rnacentral:rRNA from 1 species
CCUACGGGGGGCAGCAGUAGGGAAUCUUCCACAAUGGGCGAAAGCCUGAUGGAGCAACGCCGCGUGGGUGAAGAAGGUCUUCGGAUCGUAAAACCCUGUUGUUAGAGAAGAAAGUGCGUGAGAGUAACUGUUCACGUUUCGACGGUAUCUAACCAGAAAGCCACGGCUAACUACGUGCCAGCAGCCGCGGUAAUACGUAGGUGGCAAGCGUUAUCCGGAUUGAUUGGGCGUAAAGGGAGCGCAGGCGGUCUUUUAAGUCUGAUGUGAAAGCCUUCGGCUUAACCGGAGUAGUGCAUUGGAAACUGGGAGACUUGAGUGCAGAAGAGGAGAGUGGAACUCCAUGUGUAGCGGUGAAAUGCGUAGAUAUAUGGCAGAACACCAGUGGCGAAAGUGGCUCUCUGGUCUGUAACUGACGCUGAGGUUCGAAAGCGUGGGUAGCAAACAGGAUUAGAUACCCUGGUAGUC